UACGAAGGGGGCUAGCGUUGCUCGGAAUGACUGGGCGUAAAGGGCUCGUAGGCGGCCAACUAAGUCACACGUGAAAUCCCCAGGCUUAACCUGGGAACUGCGUGUGAUACUGGAUGGCUUGAAUCCGGGAGAGGGAUGCGGAAUUCCAGGUGUAGCGGUGAAAUGCGUAGAUAUCUGGAAGAACACCCGUGGCGAAGGCGGCUCUCUGGGACGGUACUGACGCUGAGACGCGAAAGCGUGGGGAGCGAACAGG
rnacentral:rRNA from 1 species